AGCCCUCUCUUCCUCUUCCAUCUGCCCUGGUACAGGGAGACCUCCAGGCCCUUGCCACUGUGGUGGAUGUAGCUGUGCCAGGUCAUGCCCUCAUCUUCCUCAGGGCACAGCACUUCAGGAGGGUCCUUCACAGGGGCUGCUGCCAGGUUCCAGGUUAGCAAAUGACAUGGCCCCAUACCCCAUAUCCUCCCUUCAGCAGAAUAGAUGUGGCCUGGCCAUGGGGCCUCACACAUACUUCAGAGGCUGCGUCUGCCUCCGCCAGUGAGCUCAUUCAUUUGUUAAGUUUCUUAUGAGAUUUUUCUUGUACAGGUUGCUGGGCUGGACAGCCCCACAGGGCUGUUGGGCACCUCUUACUAGGACCAAGGGCCCGUUAAGCUGUCUGCAUCCUGGAACGCCCCCGAGACUGGGCCCCUUCCACCUCUCACAGGAGAGACCUUGGCAGGAGUCCAGCCUGCAUCCCUAAGUGGAGCAAGAGCUGCUCAGGCCGCUUCCCUUGUCUGGCAGCUGGCCUUCUUCCCUGUGCUUCAUUCUCUUGGCAAGCUCUGCUGCCUGGAUGAGCCUCAGAAGGGCCACCUUGAGUAGGGAUGCAGCUGGUGCUCAAGAACCUCGUUGCUUCCUGUUCCUGGCUGACCUUCCGGACAGCUGUGGUCUUGUACGUACGUGUGUGCUCCAGGGAAUAGCUGAUCUCAUGCAGCCGACAUAAGAGCUGUGUUUUGAGGGAUGAUGGGGUGAGGCUGCCUCAAGUGUGCAGGCAGCUGCCUGGGAUUUGGGUGGUACAGGUGUGUUCAAUGCUCACCUUCUGACCCAUGUCACCUCAGCAGCUUCCGAAAGGCCAUCCAGCCUGCUCGGGCUGCCCCAGCUGCUGCCUGGCACGGCUGGCUUUCCCACUGCUCUAACCUUGAUGCUUUUCCUUCAUGCUGUCCUAGGAGGCCAAAGCAGAAGUAAGUACACCUGUCUGGUGCACCACCUCUCUUCUCCUGCUCCAGGGAGCCCCCCAGCCAUCCCCUUGCUGCCCGUGAGGAUUUGGGCUUGCUGGAGGGCGGGGGGCAGCAGUGUGGCACUAAGCAGGGUCCUGGCCUGGGACAGGCAGGUGGCAUGCAGCCCCCUGCAGGGUAUUGGCAGCCACAUGUGAAGAUGUGGCCUUAAGAAGUGUUCCUUGUUGGCAUGUACCUUGGAGGUGGCUUCCCCUCGUUGAACUGCAGCUCCUGCCCCAGGAAGAGCCCCUAGGUCCUGGUUUUGGGUCAUUUAGGCCAGUAAGGUUUGGCAGGGUGUGAGUUCUGGGGCCAGCUUAGUGGGCGUUGUUGAAGGGACAGGGAUCAGCUCCAUGGGUGCUGAGCAGCUGGUGGGUCCUAGGGGUUUGAUGUUGGGGAGGUUAGAGAACAGACAAGUCCCUGCUGCGUUGACACACACAAGGCCAACUCUACUGCCUCUUGGCAACAGUGGGUGAUGUCACAGUGCCCUGCCUCCUGGGCUCCGGGCUUCACACUCCUGCCUCUGCCCUGGCAGCCUGGCCUUGGUGAGUGAGGGGUGGCCCAGGGAUUCCCUGUCUGAAUCUCUAUGGCUCCUGGUCUCCUUUUUGUGAUGGAGGGAGCCUAGUGGGUGUCAGGAUAGGACAGGCAGGGCUUCCUGAAGUCUACUACAUGGGUGGAAUUUAGACAACUAAGCACCCCCAGGACAAGGGAGGUCAGACUGUGAUUUUUGUUGUGGAUACUAGGAAAGGGUCCUGGACAGUGGUUUAGGUUUGCUGUCCAGCCACAGGCUGCUGCCCUCCUGGGUGAGGACCAUUAGGUAGCAUGAUUACACAGAGGUCCUGGAACCCGUCAAGUCUGUUUUCCCCUAGGCUGCUCCCUGCAAACCCACAGAAGCAGUGGGGCAGUGGUGCCCCUAUCUGUAGUCAGCUUCUGUGGGUUGUUAGUUGAAUCUGGCUUAGAAGGAAUCCAGACAGAGAUGGCUAUGGGGCAGGGCAGCUGAGCACAUGGCCGAUGCUUACCUACAUCCUCUGAGCAACUUGCCUCCUGGCUUUUCGGGCUGGCUGGCAGAGUCUCUGUGGCCUUCCCUUUUCAUGGCAUGGUACCUGGGGGCAGACUGUGGGCUUCUGUGCUCCUGGAAGGAUGCUGGGGCAGCAGGGGCAUGACAUCAUGUGGCUGCUGGUGAAUGCAUCAGACCCAGGGCCCUGUCUCGCACAGCUUGAGGGAACACCCAGGCCAGUAAGAAGGCUGAAGCCCCCAGGGAUGACUCUUGCCUCCACUGGCCACAGUACCAACUGAGGACAUAGUGACAGCUGGCUGAGCAGCCUGGGCUCUGGUUCCUUCCCUUUAGGACCAGUUGUUCGCACCCUCCCUGGUGUGUCCUGUUGAUGUUAUCAUUUGGGGAUGGACACUUGACCUCUGCUCCCAGCCACCCACCCCUCCUGUGAGGUCAGUCAGGUCCCUUUGCUAAGAUCCCUGUCCCUGUACUGGACAGGCGGCUGCCCUGGGUGGGGCAGUGGUGAGGCUGUGGCAGUACAGGUGGCAUGGUGAUGGGCAGCCGCAGCAGCCUUUCUGUGAAGUGCAAUACCAGCUAUUCCAGGGUGGGCAGCCGGGUUUAGCACACGCCCAGGAAGUCAAGUUGGAGUUCAGUUCAGAUAAACGGGGAGCAGUUAAUUAAUGUAAGUUACUCUCAAAUAUUUAAUGGAAUAUACUUGUACUAGAAGACUAUGGGGGUUCACAUGAAAGUCAAGUCUGAGCACAGCCGUUUCUGUUUCGUCUGCAACCUACCUGGAGGCUCCAUGAGAAGAGGGUUCUGUGGCAGGUUUGGAAGUAGUGUUCUCUAGAUUCCUUUCAGGGGGCCGUGGGGCCUGUGGAGUUAGCAAAGACAACUUUGGCAGUGAAAACAGGUACACACAUACAUAGACGUGUAUGUAUGUCUCCUGGUUUUUAUUUACAAAAGCUCCCCACAAGGGUCUGACUUCUGAGCCUCGGCAUGUCCUCUCAUGGAGCCCCUUGGGAGGUGCCCCACCCAGUCCUUGCCCCAGGUCUCCUGCCCACCUCUGCCUGUCAGGCUGAGGAGGGCCUGGGAGGCAGGUGCCUCUGCUGUGUUGCAACUGCCUUCUUGUGCUUGCUUUUUAAUGCUGCGCCCGAAGAUGAGGAGCGGGAAGGCCUCCUGUGCCCUGGAGACCGUCUGGGAGGACAAGCACAAGUAUGAGGAGGCCGAGCGGCGCUUCCAUGAGUGGGAGGCCACGCAAGCCGCCGCCUCUGCCCAGCAGCUCCUGACACAGGUGCCAGCCGUGAACGGGCCCGGUCAGGAGGACACCGAGGAGGCCAGCGAGGCAGGGGCCCCCGAUACCAGCAGCAGCAGCAGCAGCGAUCCCAGGAAGAGCCGUGACAGCAAGAAGCCCCUGCAGAAGAAGAGGAAGCGCUCCCCUAAGAGCUGGCUCGGCCAGGUGGACCUGGCCCUCAUGGGCCUCUCAGCCGAUCACGUGUGGCUGGACAAGCCACUCUUCGACCAGGCAGAAAGUUCCUACCGCCAGAGGCUGGCAGAUGUGGCCGCCCAGGCAGCCCAGCUGCCUGCCCUGGCCCCUUGGGGUCCCUGCACACAUGGGAACCAGGUGGCCUGUCACCACGUGACCUGGGGAGUCUGGGUCAACAAGUCUUCCUUUGACCAGGCCGAGCGAGCUUUUGUGGAGCGGUCUCAGAGCCUGCUGCUGACCGCAGAGGGGAGCUGCAGGCUGGGGGCUCCUGAUGCGGGCCAGCUGCUGGCCACUCCCAGCCUGGCCCUGGUUCACCAGCCCAGCCCACCAGCCAACGGCCAGCCUCCUCUGGGCACCCUACAGGCACUGGUCUGGGAGGUGUGGCUGGAGAAGCCCCGGUAUGAUGCUGCCGAGAGGGGCUUCUAUGAAGCCCUGUUUGAUGGCCAUCCUCCCAGGAAGGUGCGCCUACAGGAGCGAGCUGGCCAGGCAGAGGGCACCCGGCGGGGCCGCAGAGACCGGCGGGGCCGCAACCCCGUAGGAAGCAAGAGGGCCGGGCCACGGCGGGCUGAUGGGGAGGCCCCUUCCGCCUUGCCUUACUGGUACUUCCUGCACAAGGAUGCUGAGGCCCCCUGGCUCAGCAAGCCCUCCUAUGACAGCGCUGAGUGCCGCCACCAUGCUGCCGAGGCCCUGCGCAUGGCCUGGCGCCUUGAGGCCGCCUCCUUGGCUCACCGAACUGGGCCCCGCUCUGGCCCAUCCAUGUCCAGCCUGAGACCCAAGUAGGAGACCUGUGCUCUUGGGCACCCAGUCCGGCCUGGGCUGCAGGCAGAGGGACUGCCACCCCCAGCCUGGGCCCCUCAUGCUUUCCUCCCCACCCUUCCCCUGGGUGGGGGCACUCCAGUUACCUGAGGACCUGGCCAAGUUGAAUGUGGGGUGGGCGGGCAAAGCUGGUGUGUCUGUCCUGGAGGUGGCAGUUCUAAACUGUUGAGGUUGGUCGGGGAAGAUGUCAUCAUUGGGCAGAUACCCUGGUGAGGUAUGGGGGCCAUGGUGGCAAGCCCGGCCACUGGGUGUGCCUGCCUCUGAGGUAAGGUGGGCAUCAGAUUGAGAGUUGGUGGCUCGUCUAGCAGCCUCUGUCUAAAGGACUCCUUGCGGAGGGAGACCUCCUUCAGCCUGGGAACCAAGUGGCCUUGUUCCAGGAUAGGU
rnacentral:lncRNA from 1 species